ensembl:misc_RNA Y_RNA Y RNA
GGCUGGUCUAAGUACAGUGGUGUUUACAACUAAUUGAUCACCACCAAUUAUAGAUUCCUUUGUUCCUUCUCCACUCCUGCUUCACUUGACCAGCCUUUA